rnacentral:misc_RNA from 1 species
GAUGAAGAACGCAGCGAAAUGCGAUACGUAAUGUGAAUUGCAGAAUUCAGUGAAUCAUCGAGUCUUUGAACGCACAUUGCGCCCCAUGGUAUUCCGUGGGGCAUGCCUGUUCGAGCGUCAUUUACCCCCUCAAGCUCCGCUUGGUGUUGGGCGUCUGUCCCGCUUCGCGCGCGGACUCGCCCCAAAGGUAUUGGCAGCGGUCGUGCCAGCUUCUCGCGCAGCACAUUGCGCUUCUCGAGGCACCGGUGGGCCCGCGUCCAUCAAGCUCACCCCCCCAGUUUGACCUCGGAUCAGGUAGGGAUACCCGCUGAACUUAAGCAUAUCAAUAAGCGGAAGGA